rnacentral:rRNA from 1 species
AACAGGAUUAGAUACCCUGGUAGUCCACGCCCUAAACGAUGUCUACUAGUUGUCGGGUUUUAAUUAACUUGGUAACGCAGCUAACGCGUGAAGUAGACCGCCUGGGGAGUACGGUCGCAAGAUUAAAACUCAAAGGAAUUGACGGGGACCCGCACAAGCGGUGGAUGAUGUGGAUUAAUUCGAUGCAACGCGAAAAACCUUACCUACCCUUGACAUGUCAGGAAUCCUCGAGAGAUUGAGGAGUGCUCGAAAGAGAGCCUGAACACAGGUGCUGCAUGGCUGUCGUCAGCUCGUGCCGUGAGAUGUUGAGUUAAGUCCCGCAACGAGCGCAACCCUUGUCAUUAGUUGCUACGAAAGGGCACUCUAAUGAGACUGCCGGUGACAAACCGGAGGAAGGUGGGGAUGACGUCAAGUCCUCAUGGCCCUUAUGGGUAGGGCUUCACACGUCAUACAAUGGUACAUACAGAGGGCCGCCAACCCGCGAGGGGGAGCUAAUCCCAGAAAGUGUAUCGUAGUCCGGAUUGUAGUCUGCAACUCGACUACAUGAAGUUGGAAUCGCUAGUAAUCGCGGAUCAGCAUGUCGCGGUGAAUACGUUCCCGGGUCUUGUACACACCGCCCGUCACACCAUGGGAGCGGGUUUUACCAGAAGUAGGUAGCUUAACCGCAAGGAGGGCGCUUACCACGGUAGGAUUCGUGACUGGGGUGAAGUCGUAACAAGGUAACC